rnacentral:lncRNA from 1 species
UGCAGAAAGAAAUAAACAUAACCAACCAGAUAAAAUAGCAAAGGAAAAAACAGAGUGAAACAGCCAAACAAAAAACACAUGGCAAAACAAACUGAAUGAUUUGCUAAAAAUUCAAAUUUGUUUUCAUUUCCAGGUUUUUUUUGUUUUGUUUGGCAACAUGUUCAUAUUUGGAUAACUUUAACAGGAUAAGUUUUAUGGAAAUCCAAAUCUUUUGGGCUAUUUAUAAGUGUAAUUUUGGUAAGGGGAUCCUCCUAAUAUCGUUUCUACACAGAAGUAGAUUGUUUCCUUAGAUCUGCAGUUUUUACUCUUUGUUUUAUUGACAAGGGUCCUAUUGGGUGGACUGGGGGAGAGAGGGAUGCUCAUUUUGUGUCUUUGAGUUCAUUUGCUUUUAAACACUGUGUUUUUAAUAUGUAUUUUAUUUGCUUUUAUGUUAAGCCCCUUGUGUUUCAGGUGAAAAGGUGCUAUACAUAUAAAUAAAGUUUAAAUUUGAGUUUUAAAAAGUUACAUUUUUUAAAUUUUUAAAAUAGUGUGUUCAAUAAAUGUUUUUCCUAAGGUGUCUUUUGGAUUCUGGCCCCCUGUGUGAUUGAGUUGACACCAUGCCUGCCUGUAAAUGAAUAGACUGAAUAAUGCUGGGUGGAGUCGUUGUUCCGUCUCCAUAGCAACGGGGAAGCGGGAGCAAUCUUAACUAACAGAACAAAAGUGUCAAAGGAAAAAAACGCAAUAAAUAAGGAGUCCACUGACAGCAUGAACAACAGAACUCAGCGGUUGAACUCGUUGUCUCGGUCGUCGACCGACGCGGGGACAGCUUUCCUGAACAGCAGGACGAGUUCGAGGCUGACGUGGGAGGUUCGAGCCCGGCAGGACGGGAAGCGCCGCAGUGUGCUCGGCAGCAGCCGGCCGGGCAGACACCACGGCCCGGAGGAGACGCCGAGGAGAGCCGUUCGGGUGCUGGAUGCUGAGGGCAACGAUGUGACUCCCCUGCCUCUGCUCCCAGUGAAGCCACAGCCAUCUACUGAAACGGCAGGAUUGUGUCUGGACGACUUGUUCAAUUCAGAUCACUCUAGCUCCGACUCCAGCCUUGAUCUGGACUCCACCUCCUCUUUAAGCAGCUCAUUCGCUCUGUCCUCAAGGGAUUCAUGGACAAAGGAAAGUAAAGACAGUCUCCUUACAGAGGACAUCCACCUACACCUACCUACUCCAUGUGAUUAAUACACCUUUUUGUCUGUUUAUUUUUUUAUUUGUUUGUUUUGAUGAAUAUUUUCUUGUAUUUUUUAUCCCGGGGGGUCUGCACCCUUUGAGGCAACAUUCACACUGUCCUCGGCAACGCGCUUUCAAGCCAUUGACUGUAUAAGAAAACUGGACUGAUCCCUCCCCCCUCGCGUUACCAUAAGACUUCUAUGGAGAAAAAAAAACAGCUAUUACUCACUCUAUUUGUCAGAAAAAUAAUUAUUUCGCUACAAACUUAUUAUUAACAUAUUGUAUCCUAAUUUUUUUCAUUACGUUUUUUCUUUAUCCCAAGUUAUUCAAGUUAUAAACUGGCCAAUCAGAUGCCUCAGUAAAGCAUGUGGUGCCCACCUCAAACGUUUGAUUGGCAGAUUCUCCUGAGCUCACUUUCAGUGGUAUGGAUGUGAACUUCUAAGUAGCUCCCUCCUGAUUGGUAACAUCAUUUGCCAUAGUAAUGUAGUAACCAUAAUAACUGACUAGAAACAAUCGCUGCUUACUGACCAUGUCUGGCACCAAAUAGGGGUUUCCGUAUCACAGAAUGAUUUAGUCUCAUUUGGUUGGAGCUGGAAAUAAGACAUUUUUGCUCUUUAAGGCAUUAUCUAUGAGUGACUGAACUCAGUCCAGUUCUCUUAUGCAGUCAAUGGUUCAAGCGACCACUUCUAAUUAUAAGUCUAUGUCAAUGCAUGUUUCAUGCUUCCGUAUUCGAAGCUCUCGGGUUCAUUCAUAGCUACAUACAUUUUUAGGACCGUUCAUGGGCUCUAUGUACAAAAUGGGACAAUUACCUGUCACAUUUAAAAUGAGUUAAUAAAUGACAAUUUACUAAAGCAAAAAACUAUAAUUUAUUAAUUUUUUUUGCAUUCUGCUUCAAAGCCAAUGGAGCCUAAGUCCAGAGGUGUUAUCACUUUUUUAUAAUUUUGUUUGAAGUGAUCCCACCAAAGAAAGGAUUGGCUAAAAAACAAGCAUCAGAAGAGAUAAAAGUGACUGACAUAAUUCUUAUGGAGUCAGAGACGGUUACGCUGCUGGACAUCCCAAGCACCUUAAUCCACGAGGACGCUGACGGUGCAGAACUCGCCAGGUGAGGUCACGGAGCAGCUCCACUCAGGAAUCACAGCAGUGUAACCAUGCAACCAUGUGUAGCCGUGCAACUUAGUUUGUGUAAAAUCUUCAUUGACAAAUGGAUUUUUUCUGUUUUUUAACAGGGUGAGGACCGACCACUAUGUUGAACUUUGCAAAAGCAGAGUGCGCAAUGCCAUUGAACAAUCCACACAGACUAUCGUUGGAGAGAACAAAAACAAACUGAUACAGACCAACGAGAAGAUUGAGCUUGAAAAGAGUAUGAACUCACUUAAUCUUUGACCCUCUAACAAAGGAGUUCUAGUGUUUAUGUUCUUUGAUUUAUUGGAAUUAUGUAAUUCUUAACACGAUCAACGCAAUUCC